UGUAGUGAAUCUGAAAGUACGACAUGUAUGUUGAGAUUUUGUGAAUUUACUUGAAACCCUUCUUGAGUGGGUUGACUUGUAAAUUCUUACAUUUUCUUCUACAUUUGUUUUACUUAGUUAACUUUAAUAAUGGUUUGGUUUAAUCUCUUGCAAUAGUGUAUUAAAAUGCUUUGGUUGUGUUAUGGUCUUUUGGAUCACUUGUAUGCUUGUCUGAUGUCCCUUGGGAAUAGGUGCCUUGGGAUAGUCAAGUUAGGCUUAGGCCCUCGAUUUGAUUUUAGGGGACCAUUUUCAAUUUAUGGAGACAAGUUUGAACGUACUUUGUGAUAGGCCUUGUUAUUGAUAGGUUUGAUCAUUGUAUUUCUAGGUUUCGAGAUUCUUGGUGAUGGACCUAGUAAUUGGAUUGCUUGCUUAGGUGGUGGUGCCUGGUUGAGGUAAAAUUGGUUGGCCUCCUGAGGCAUGGAGCUUGUUUUAUUGGUGGUGAUUGGAGCAUUAUGCUAAUUGAGGGAUUUAUGCUAUGAUUGAUUGGUGACUCAACUUUCUAAAUUUAUUGAGGCCAUAGCUAAUUCUAUCGAAGGUUGGGCCCUUGAGGUUUGUUAACCUUGGGCAUGGUAGGCAUAGAUUCUAUCGUCCUGGUUGCCUUUCCUUGGAAGGAUUGUGAUAUGAUGUUGAUCCAUUUGGAGUUUUGGAAUUCCGUGUAUAUUUGGAGACAUUAUUUGUAAUUCGUAUUGUUUGUAAAUGUGUUAUAGAGUUUUGACUUGUAA